AGCCUGAAUAUCAUUUAUAAGAGA
rnacentral:siRNA from 1 species